UAGUAGCGGCGAGCGAAGCGGGAAGAGCUCAAAUUUAUAAUCUGGCACCUUCGGUGUCCGAGUUGUAAUCUCUAGAAAUGUUUUCCGCGUUGGACCGCACACAAGUCUGUUGGAAUACAGCGGCAUAGUGGUGAGACCCCCGUAUAUGGUGCGGACGCCCAGCGCUUUGUGAUACAUUUUCGAAGAGUCGAGUUGUUUGGGAAUGCAGCUCAAAUUGGGUGGUAAAUUCCAUCUAAAGCUAAAUAUUGGCGAGAGACCGAUAGCGAACAAGUACCGUGAGGGAAAGAUGAAAAGCACUUUGGAAAGAGAGUUAACAGUACGUGAAAUUGUUGGAAGGGAAACGCUUGAAGUCAGACUUGCUUGCCGAGCAAUCGGUUUGCAGGCCAGCAUCAGUUUUCCGGGAUGGAUAAUGGUAGAGAGAAGGUAGCAGUUUCGGCUGUGUUAUAGCUCUCUGCUGGAUACAUCUUGGGGGACUGAGGAACGCAGUGUGCCUUUGGCGGGGGUUUCGACCUCUUCACACUUAGGAUGCUGGUGGAAUGGCUUUAAACGACCCGUCUUGA
rnacentral:rRNA from 2 species